rnacentral:rRNA from 1 species
CCUCUUGGACUGGGACAACUGUUGGAAACGACAGCUAAUACCGGAUAUUAUGAGAUUCUCGCAUGAGAAACUUAUGAAAGCUAUAUGCGCCAAGAGAGAGCCUUGCGUUCCAUUAGCUAGUUGGUGGGGUAACGGCCCACCAAGGCGACGAUGGAUAGCCGGCCUGAGAGGGUGAACGGCCACAAGGGGACUGAGACACGGCCCUUACUCCUACGGGAGGCAGCAGUGGGGAAUAUUGGACAAUGGGCCACAAGCCUGAUCCAGCAAUUCUGUGUGCACGAUGAAGGUCUUCGGAUUGUAAAGUGCUUUCAGUUGGGAAGAAGAAAGUGACGGUACCAACAGAAGAAGCGACGGCUAAAUACGUGCCAGCAGCCGCGGUAAUACGUAUGUCGCAAGCGUUAUCCGGAUUUAUCGGGCGUAAAGCGCGUCUAGGCGGAAAAAUAAGUCUGAUGUUAAAAUGCGGGGCUCAACUCCGUAUUGCGUUGGAAACUGUUUUUCUAGAGUACUGGAGAGGUGGGCGGAACUACAAGUGUAGAGGUGA